UCCGAGUUGACCCCGGCAGUCUCCUAUGAGUCCCCGCCAUCACGCGCUGGCAACAUAGAACGAGGGUUGCGCUCGUUGCGGGACUUAACCCAACAUCUCACGACACGAGCUGACGACAACCAUGCACCACCUGUGAACCGGCCUCAAAGAGGGGAGGACAUCUCUGCCCUUUUCCGGUCCAUGUCAAGCCUUGGUAAGGUUCUUCGCGUUGCAUCGAAUUAAUCCGCAUGCUCCGCCGCUUGUGCGGGCCCCCGUCAAUUCCUUUGAGUUUUAGCCUUGCGGCCGUACUCCCCAGGCGGGGCACUUAAUGCGUUAGCUACGGUACGGAAAACGUGGAAUGUCCCCCACACCUAGUGCCCAACGUUUACGGCAUGGACUAC
rnacentral:misc_RNA from 1 species